rnacentral:misc_RNA from 1 species
AAGGGCCUCAAGCUAAACCCCAUUUCUGUCAUGUACUAUGUUAGCCCAUGCAGCGCUCUUUGCCUUUUAGUUCCAUGGAUCUUUUUGGAGAAACCAAAGAUGGACGAACAACUAACAUGGAGCUUUCACCCUCUUGUUCUAACUCUAAAUUGUAUAUGUACUUUUGCCUUGAAUCUCUCUGUUUUCUUGGUGAUCUCACAUACAAGUGCCCUAACAAUUCGUGUUGCUGGAGUUGUCAAAGACUGGGUGGUUGUACUGCUGUCUGCACUACUUUUUGCUGAUACGAAGCUGACACUUAUCAAUCUUUGUGGUUAUGCUAUUGCUAUUGCUGGUGUAGCUGCAUAUAACAGCCACAAGCUAAAGAAGGAAGCUACCCGAGUAAGCUCAGACGAGUCUCAAGCCACUUCGUCUAUACCUUUAGUAUCAUCUUCAACGUCAAAUGCGUAGAUCUAUCUGAAGAGUAGUCUUGCAGUCUAUUCUGAGGUCUUGCAAGUAACGGAGCAGAAAAUUCUGCAAAUUCCAGUAUGUCUUUUUUUUUCGGGGCAAGUAGGGGUUGGCUCACUCUUAAAAUUGAUGCAUUAUUGAAAACUACAACACAUUUGCUGGUUUAGUAGAAGAUAAAGUUGAACAUGGUGAUAUUCAAGUCAUGAACUUGUCUAUGCGACAUUCUCUGGUUAUUACUGCUGCUUUUGAAUUCGAGACAUCGGAGCACAAGAAAAAGAAACAGCUAUAAUGAUGUAUAAUAUAGAGGAUCCCAUAUAUUUUUGAUCGCGUAAAGGUUGGGAAACUGACAUUCUUUUUGUUCGAUAUAGACAUCGAUGAAUGCUGACUGUUGAUAUGUUGAAA